rnacentral:ncRNA from 1 species
AUCAGGUUGGGGUAAACUUCGACGAAAGUGAAGGACGCUAAAGUCAUGGGUCUAAGGCUAAUUUCAGACGCCUGAAAUUACGCUAGGAUCGCCAGAUUACAAGC